rnacentral:rRNA from 1 species
AGAGUUUGAUCCUGGCUCAGAACGAACGCUGGCGGCAGGCUUAACACAUGCAAGUCGAACGGGCCCUUCGGGGUCAGUGGCAGACGGGUGAGUAACACGUGGGAACGUACCCUUUUGUUCGGAAUAACCCAGGGAAACUUGGGCUAAUACCGGAUACGCCCUUUUGGGGAAAGAUUUAUCGCAGAAGGAUCGGCCCGCGUCUGAUUAGCUAGUUGGUGAGGUAAAGGCUCACCAAGGCGACGAUCAGUAGCUGGUCUGAGAGGAUGAUCAGCCACACUGGGACUGAGACACGGCCCAGACUCCUACGGGAGGCAGCAGUGGGGAAUAUUGGACAAUGGGCGCAAGCCUGAUCCAGCCAUGCCGCGUGAGUGAUGAAGGCCUUAGGGUUGUAAAGCUCUUUCGGCGGGGACGAUAAUGACGGUACCCGCAGAAGAAGCCCCGGCUAACUUCGUGCCAGCAGCCGCGGUAAUACGAAGGGGGCUAGCGUUGUUCGGAAUCACUGGGCGUAAAGGGCGCGUAGGCGGCUUUGUAAGUCGGGGGUGAAAGCCUGUGGCUCAACCACAGAAUUGCCUUCGAUACUGCAUGGCUUGAGACCGGAAGAGGUAAGUGGAACUGCGAGUGUAGAGGUGAAAUUCGUAGAUAUUCGCAAGAACACCAGUGGCGAAGGCGGCUUACUGGUCCGGUUCUGACGCUGAGGCGCGAAAGCGUGGGGAGCAAACAGGAUUAGAUACCCUAGUAGUCC